ACCUGACGUGGCCUGAAGAGACAGACAGUGGCUCUUGCUAGCUAAUUAUUGUCAGAUGGAUCGGCAGCCGACCAACGCUUCUGAAACUAUUGUUUUUGGCAAAUGUUCCUCAACAUUUUCCUGGGAGCUAUGGUGCAUUACUCACGAGUGACAGAACCAACGAGCUUCAUCUCCCAAGAGGCUGGUGCAUCUGUUUAAAGGAGCAGGCACUAGGCAGAGCAGCCCCCACCCCACCCUCCAUGGCAGAGUGCAGUGGGGGAAGGGAUGGGAUUUCACCAUGUUGUCCAAGCUGGUUUUGAACUCCUGGGGUCAAGAAAUCCA
rnacentral:lncRNA from 1 species